rnacentral:rRNA from 1 species
UACGUAGGGUGCGAGCGUUAAUCGGAAUUACUGGGCGUAAAGCGUGCGCAGGCGGUUCGUUAAGUCAGGUGGGAAAGCCCCGGGCUCAACCUGGGAACUGCAUUUGAAACUGGCGGGCUUGAGUGUGGCAGAGGGGGGUGGAAUUCCGCGUGUAGCAGUGAAAUGCGUAGAGAUGCGGAGGAACACCGAUGGCGAAGGCAGCCCCCUGGGCCAACACUGACGCUCAGGCACGAAAGCGUGGGGAGCAAACAGG